rnacentral:rRNA from 1 species
CCUACGGGCGGCUGCAGUGGGGAAUAUUGCACAAUGGGGGAAACCCUGAUGCAGCAACGCCGCGUGAAGGAAGACGGCUCUCCGAUUUUUAACCUCCGUUCUUAGUGAAGAAUAAUGACGCUAGUUAAGCAGCAAGCCACGGUUAAAUACGUGCCAGCAGCCGCGGUAAUACGGCGGUGGCACGCGUUGUUCGGAAUUACUGGGUGGAAAGGGAGCGCAGGCGGGAAGCCAAGUCAGCUGUGAAAGCUACGGGCUUAACUUGGAGACUGCAGUUGAAACUGGUUUUCUUGAGUGAAGUAGGGGUUGGCGGAAUUCCGGGUGUAGCGGUGAAAUGCGUAGAUAUUCGGAGGAACACCGGUGGCGAAGGC